rnacentral:rRNA from 1 species
AGUCAACAUGCCCAGGGGACGUGGACAACCUCGGGAAACUGAGAAUAAACCACGAUAGGUCAUGAUUUCUGGAAUGGAUCAUGGCCCAAAUCUACAUGGCCCCUGGAUUGGACUGCGGCCGAUCAGGCAGUUGGUGAGGUAAAGGCCCACCAAACCUAUAACCGGUACGGGCUCUGAGAGGAGAAGCCCGGAGAUGGGCACUGAGACAAGGGCCCAGGCCCUAUGGGGCGCAGCAGGCGCGAAACCUCUGCAAUAGGCGAAAGCCUGACAGGGUUACUCUGAGUGAUUUCCGCUAAGGGGAUCUUUUGGCACCUCUAAAAAUGGUGCAGAAUAAGGGGUGGGCAAGUCUGGUGUCAGCCGCCGCGGUAAUACCAGCACCCCGAGUGGUCGGGACGAUUAUUGGGCCUAAAGCAUCCGUAGCCGGUUCUGCAAGUCUUCCGUUAAAUCCAGCCGCUCAACGGAUGGGCCGCGGAGGAUACUACAGGACUAGGAGGCGGGAGAGGCAAGCGGUACUCAGUGGGUAGGGGUAAAAUCCUUUGAUCCAUUGAAGACCACCAGUGGCGAAGGCGGCUUGCCAGAACGCGCUCGACGGUGAGGGAUGAAAGCUGGGGGAGCAAACCGGAUUAGAUACCCGGGUAGUCCCAGCUGUAAACGAUGCAGACUCGGUGAUGGGCUAGC